AUCUGCGACCAGAAUCGUGAUGCCCGAUGAUGGUGGAGGGAAACGCACCUCGGAAAAGUCGCUCCGAAAUGGCAAGGAAUGGAGGGCUGUGAUGAGCAGGUGUGUUCUUAGGUGAACCACUUCAUAUUUAUCCUUCAUCUCCGUUCCACCUCGGGGAGGGUUUCCGCCACCCUGUCUCCCAGGCCUCCUUGACUGCAGGGAAAAGGGGGCAGAAGGAAGGCGAAAUGGUCAGCUCUCCCUCCGUUUAAGUCUACAAUUUUUGCGGUUUGUGAGGCUGGAAGAAGAACUGUUGGGACGAGCGAGGGAAGGAUAAGGGGAAGGGGAAAAUCCUUCUCUAGCGUUUUCUAGGGUUCUGCGCGUGCACCGUCGUUCUCGCCGGUUCCUUCUCUUAUUUUUGGUGUUGCAG
rnacentral:lncRNA from 1 species